GACGAACGCUGGCGGCGUGCUUAACACAUGCAAGUCGAACGGAAAGGCCUGUCCUUCCUUGUGUUGGACGGGUACUCGAGUGGCGAACGGGUGAGUAACACGUGAGUGAUCUGCCCCCAACUUGGGUAUAGGCCUGGGAAACUGGGUCUAAUUCCCGAUAGGACUGCAGGGUGGUGCCUGUGGUGGAAAACGAUUUUCUAGUGGUUGGGGAUGAGCUCGCGGCCUAUCAGCUUGUUGGUGGGGUAAUGGCCUACCAAGGCGGCGACGGGUAGCCGGCCUGAGAGGGUGGACGGCCACAUUGGGACUGAGAUACGGCCCAGACUCCUACGGGAGGCAGCAGUGGGGAAUAUUGCACAAUGGGCGGAAGCCUGAUGCAGCGACGCCGCGUGGGGGAUGACGGCCUUCGGGUUGUAAACUCCUUUCGACCGCGAGGAGGCCGCCUGGUUGGAAGGGUGGUGACGGUAGUGGUAGAAGAAGCACCGGCUAACUACGUG
rnacentral:rRNA from 1 species